rnacentral:tRNA from 1 species
GACUUUUAAUCCGAAGGUCGUGGGUUCGAGCCCCACAGGGGGUACCA